rnacentral:miRNA from 14 species
CUACAGAUGGUUGUGAGCCACCAUGUGGUUGCUGGGAAUUGAACUCAGGGCCUCUGGAAGUGCUUUUAACUGCUCAGCC